rnacentral:rRNA from 1 species
UACGUAGGUGGCAAGCGUUGUCCGGAAUUACUGGGCGUAAAGCGCGCGUAGGCGGUUUGUUAAGUUGGAUGUGAAAGCCCCGGGCUCAACCUGGGAACUGCAUCCAAAACUGGCAAGCUAGAGUACGGUAGAGGGUGGUGGAAUUUCCUGUGUAGCGGUGAAAUGCGUAGAUAUAGGAAGGAACACCAGUGGCGAAGGCGACCACCUGGACUGAUACUGACACUGAGGUGCGAAAGCGUGGGGAGCAAACAGG